UUCAUGGCGCCUCGGAGGCGAUCAGCUGCUUCAAGAUGAAGCUGAAUAUCUCCUUCCCAGCCACCAGCUGCCAGAAACUCAUCGAAGUGGACGAUGAACCCAAACUUCGUACUUUCUAUGAGAAGUGUACGGCCAUGGAAAUUGCUGCCGACCCUCUGGGUGAAGAAUGGAAGGGCUACGUGGUCCGAAUCCGUGGUGGGAACGACAAGCAAGGUUUCCCGCGAAGCAGGGUGUCUUGACCCAUGGCCGUGUGCACCUGCUACUGAGUAAGGGGCAUUCCUGUAAUAGACCAAGAAGAACUGGGGAAAGAAAGCACAAAUCUGUUCAGGGUUGUAUUGUGGAUGCCAACCUGAGUGUUCUCAACUUGGUUAUUGUAAUAAAAAGGGGAGAAGAGUAUCCCUGGACUGACUGAUACUACACUACCUUGUUGUCUGGGGCCCAAAAGAACUAACAGAAUCCGCAAACUUUUCAAUCUGUGUAAAGAUGUUAUUAACCAAUAUGUCAUAAGGAAGCCCUUAAACAAAGAAGGUAAGAAACCUAGGAUCGGCCAGGCGCGGAUCACAGCACCCAAGAGUCAGCGACUUGUAACUCCUCGUGUCCUGCAACAUAAAUGCCAGCGUAUUGCUCUGAAGCAGCAUACUAAGAAAAAUAAGGAAGAGGCUACAGAAUAUGAUAAACUUUUGGCCAAGAGAAUGAAGGAGGCCAAAGAAAAGCACCAGGAACAGAUUGCCAAG